UUUUUAAUCGGUCUUAAAUAUUAAAAAAAACUAUAUUCAAAUGGGUCGUCCGUGGUUUUCUCGAGUGUGGAAGGUUAUUGUUCGAUCCCAGGCUGAGUCAAUCAAAAUAAUAUGUUAAAAUCCUGGCUAAACGUGUCUGUCAAAUAUUUUUUUAAAACAACUUUAAUAUGCACAUCUUAUUGAUGUUGUUGUCCUGAAAUGCGUGUAAUAUUAGCCCCUGGACGUUAAACACAAUGUAACUCAUCAUCAUCAUUAUCAUCAUCUGAACAAACUAUUCAAACUGUUUUGGUCGUAAAUCGUCUGAAAUUUUG
rnacentral:lncRNA from 1 species